GAUGAAGAACGUAGCGAAAUGCGAUAAGUAAUGUGAAUUGCAGAAUUCAGUGAAUCAUCGAAUCUUUGAACGCACAUUGCGCCCGCCAGUAUUCUGGCGGGCAUGCCUGUUCGAGCGUCAUUUCAACCCUCAGGCCCCCAGUGCCUGGUGUGGGGGAUCGGCCCAGCCUUCCUGUAAGGCCGCCGGCCCCGAAAUCUAGUGGCGGUCUCGCUGUAGUCCUCCUCUGCGUAGUAGCACAACCUCGCAGUUGGAACGCGGCGGUGGCCAUGCCGUUAAACACCCCACUUCUGAAAGUUGACCUCGGAUCAGGUAGGAAUACCCGCUGAACUUUAGCAUAUCAAUAAGCGGAGGA
rnacentral:misc_RNA from 1 species